rnacentral:rRNA from 1 species
AACGAACGCUGGCGGCGCGCCUAAUACAUGCAAGUCGAGCGAGAAGACGUAGCAAUACGUUUGUAAAGCGGCGAACGGGUGAGGAAUACAUGGGUAACCUACCCUCGAGUGGGGAAUAACUAGCCGAAAGGUUAGCUAAUACCGCGUGCGCUCCUUGGACUUCGGUUCAGGGAGGAAAGCGAUACCGUGGGUAUCGCGCUCUUGGAUGGGCUCAUGUCCUAUCAGCUUGNGGUGAGGUAACGGCUCACCAAGGCUUCGACGGGUAGCUGGUCUGAGAGGACGAUCAGCCACACUGGCACUGCGACACGGGCCAGACUCCUACGGGAGGCAGCAGUAAGGAAUAUUGCGCAAUGGGCGAAAGCCUGACGCAGCGACGCCGCGUGGGGGA